GACGAACGCUGGCGGCGUGCUUAACACAUGCAAGUCGAACGGAAAGGCCCUGCUUUUGUGGGGUGCUCGAGUGGCGAACGGGUGAGUAACACGUGAGUAACCUGCCCUUGACUUUGGGAUAACUUCAGGAAACUGGGGCUAAUACCGGAUAGGAGCUCCUGCUGCAUGGUGGGGGUUGGAAAGUUUCGGCGGUUGGGGAUGGACUCGCGGCUUAUCAGCUUGUUGGUGGGGUAGUGGCUUACCAAGGCUUUGACGGGUAGCCGGCCUGAGAGGGUGACCGGCCACAUUGGGACUGAGAUACGGCCCAGACUCCUACGGGAGGCAGCAGUGGGGAAUAUUGCACAAUGGGCGGAAGCCUGAUGCAGCAACGCCGCGUGCGGGAUGACGGCCUUCGGGUUGUAAACCGCUUUCGCCUGUGACGAAGCGUGAGUGACGGUAAUGGGUAAAGAAGCACCGGCUAACUACGUGCCAGCAGCCGCGGUGAUACGUAGGGUGCGAGCGUUGUCCGGAUUUAUUGGGCGUAAAGGGCUCGUAGGUGGUUGAUCGCGUCGGAAGUGUAAUCUUGGGGCUUAACCCUGAGCGUGCUUUCGAUACGGGUUGACUUGAGGAAGGUAGGGGAGAAUGGAAUUCCUGGUGGAGCGGUGGAAUGCGCAGAUAUCAGGAGGAACACCAGUGGCGAAGGCGGUUCUCUGGGCCUUUCCUGACGCUGAGGAGCGAAAGCGUGGGGAGCGAACAGGCUUAGAUACCCUGGUAGUCCACGCUGUAAACGGUGGGUACUAGGUGUGGGGUCCAUUCCACGGGUUCCGUGCCGUAGCUAACGCUUUAAGUACCCCGCCUGGGGAGUACGGCCGCAAGGCUAAAACUCAAAGGAAUUGACGGGGCCCCGCACAAGCGGCGGAGCAUGCGGAUUAAUUCGAUGCAACGCGUAGAACCUUACCUGGGUUUGACAUGGAUCGGGAGUGCUCAGAGAUGGGUGUGCCUCUUUUGGGGUCGGUUCACAGGUGGUGCAUGGCUGUCGUCAGCUCGUGUCGUGAGAUGUUGGGUUAAGUCCCGCAACGAGCGCAACCCUUGUUCACUGUUGCCAGCACGUUAUGGUGGGGACUCAGUGGAGACCGCCGGGGUCAACUCGGAGGAAGGUGGGGAUGACGUCAAGUCAUCAUGCCCCUUAUGUCCAGGGCUUCACGCAUGCUACAAUGGCUGGUACAGAGAGUGGCGAGCCUGUGAGGGUGAGCGAAUCUCGGAAAGCCGGUCUCAGUUCGGAUUGGGGUCUGCAACUCGACCUCAUGAAGUCGGAGUCGCUAGUAAGCGCAGAUCAGCAACGCUGCGGUGAAUACGUUCCCGGGGCU
rnacentral:rRNA from 1 species